rnacentral:rRNA from 1 species
GAUGAACGCUGGCGGCGUGCCUAAUACAUGCAAGUCGAGCGAACGGACGAGAAGCUUGCUUUUCUGAUGUUAGCGGCGGACGGGUGAGUAACACGUGGAUAACCUACCUAUAAGACUGGGAUAACUUCGGGAAACCGGAGCUAAUACCGGAUAAUAUUUUGAACCGCAUGGUUCAAAAGUGAAAGACGGUCUUGCUGUCACUUAUAGAUGGAUCCGCGCUGCAUUAGCUAGUUGGUAAGGUAACGGCUUACCAAGGCAACGAUGCAUAGCCGACCUGAGAGGGUGAUCGGCCACACUGGAACUGAGACACGGUCCAGACUCCUACGGGAGGCAGCAGUAGGGAAUCUUCCGCAAUGGGCGAAAGCCUGACGGAGCAACGCCGCGUGAGUGAUGAGGGUCUUCGGAUCGUAAAACUCUGUUAUUAGGGAAGAACAUAUGUGUAAGUAAUUGUGCACAUUUUGACGGUACCUAAUCAGAAAGCCACGGCUAACUACGUG